UACGUAGGGUGCGAGCGUUGUCCGGAAUUACUGGGCGUAAAGAGCUCGUAGGUGGUUUGUCGCGUCGUUUGUGUAAGUCACGGCUUAACUGUGGGAUGGCAGGCGAUACGGGCAUAACUUGAGUGCUGUAGGGGAGACUGGAAUUCCUGGUGUAGCGGUGAAAUGCGCAGAUAUCAGGAGGAACACCGAUGGCGAAGGCAGGUCUCUGGGCAGUAACUGACGCUGAGGAGCGAAAGCAUGGGUAGCGAACAGG
rnacentral:rRNA from 1 species